rnacentral:rRNA from 1 species
UACGGAGGGUGCAAACGUUGCUCGGAAUCAUUGGGCGUAAAGAGCGUGUAGGCGGCCAGAUAAGUCCGCUGUGAAAUCUCGAGGCUCAACUUCGAGCUGUCGGUGGAAACUGUCUGGCUAGAGUCCGGAAGAGGAGAAUGGAAUUCCUGGUGUAGCGGUGAAAUGCGCAGAUAUCAGGAAGAACACCCGUGGCGAAGGCGGUUCUCUGGGACGGUACUGACGCUGAGACGCGAAAGCGUGGGGAGCGAACAGG